rnacentral:piRNA from 1 species
UUGAAUUUCAUGCCCGUGUAA